GCAGGUGUAGUAAAAUUAUUAUUUGAGUUUUGUAAACUUAGGUUUCUAUCGUGUAUAGGCGUCUGUU
rnacentral:tRNA from 1 species